rnacentral:rRNA from 1 species
UACGUAGGGGGCUAGCGUUGUCCGGAAUCAUUGGGCGUAAAGAGCGUGUAGGCGGCCCGGUAAGUCCGCUGUGAAAGUCGGGGGCUCAACCCUCGAAUGCCGGUGGAUACUGUCGGGCUAGAGUGCGGAAGAGGCGAGUGGAAUUCCUGGUGUAGCGGUGAAAUGCGCAGAUAUCAGGAGGAACACCGGUGGCGAAAGCGGCUCACUGGACCAUUACUGACGCUGAUGCUCGAAAGCUAGGGGAGCAAACAGG